rnacentral:rRNA from 1 species
AUUGAACGCUGGCGGCAGGCCUAACACAUGCAAGUCGAGCGCGAAAGUUCUUCGGAAUGAGUAAAGCGGCGGGCGGGUGAGUAAUACAUGGGAAUCUGCCUGGUAGUGGGGGACAACGUUUCGAAAGGAACGCUAAUACCGCAUACGCCCUACGGGGGAAAGGGGGGGAUCGCAAGACCUCUCGCUAUCAGAUGAGCCCA